rnacentral:rRNA from 1 species
AUUGAACGCUGGCGGCAUGCCUUACACAUGCAAGUCGAACGACAGCACGGGGGCAACCCUGGUGGCGAGUGGCGAACGGGUGAGUAACAUAUCGGAACAUACCCUAGAGUGGGGGAUAACGUAGCGAAAGUUACGCUAAUACCGCAUACGAUCUAAGGAUGAAAGUGGGGGAUCUUCGGACCUCAUGCUCAUGGAGUGGCCGAUAUCUGAUUAGCUAGUUGGUGAGGUAAAGGCUCACCAAGGCGACGAUCAGUAGCUGGUUUGAGAGAACGACCAGCCACACUGGAACUGAGACACGGUCCAGACUCCUACGGGAGGCAGCAGUGGGGAAUUUUGGACAAUGGGGGGCAACCCUGAUCCAGCAAUGCCGCGUGAGUGAAGAAGGCCUUCGGGUUGUAAGACUCUUUGUUCUAGGGAAGAAACGGUAGAGUUCUAAUACAGCUUGCUAAUGACGGUACCUGAAGAAUAAGCACCGGCUAACUACGUGCCAGCAGCCGCGGUAA